CUGACAACCGGUGCAUGAAACCCCUGUCACAUACUCCCUAGAUGGCUCAAUCAAUCAUGACACUUUCAUGUAAAAUCUUUAGUAUUGUGAGCCCUUAAAAGGGACAGAAUUUGUGCACUCAAGAAGCUCGGAUUUUGAGAUGUUAGUCUGCUGAUGCUUCCAGCUGACUAAAGCCACUUCCUCCACUCCCUCAGUGUCUGUGAGGUUUUGUCUGCAGCUCAUCCUGCUACAUUUCUUGUUUCCCUGAUCAGGAAGCGAGGUAACUGACGGACGGCUGAGGCAUCCCCUUAGGCAGCUUAGGCCUGCUCUAUGGAGCAUCCCUGUGGGAGACUCUGGCCUGCCUUAGUGACGUGAUCCAAAGAGUGAUCCCAGGUAGGCAAUUGCCCUGGUGGAAUGCCUUGCCAGAGCAGCAUGUGCCAGGCCCACAUGGAGGAUCAACGCAGUGGCUGAACACAAGGGAGGAACUGGCACUUGGAGUGCAGACAUCUGAAACUUGGUUUUUGCAUGAAGAGGAGCAGGAGUCUCGAAGGCACAGCCAGAGUCUUACUCUCUCACCAGGCUGGAGUGCAGUGGUACAAUCUUGGCUCACUGCAACCUCUACCUCCCGGGUUCAAGCGAUUAUCCUGCCUCAGCCUCCCAAGUAGUUGGGACCACAGGUGCGUGCUACCACACCCAGCUAAUUUUUGUAUUUUUAGUAGAGACAGGGUUUCACCAUGUUGGCCAGAAUGGUCUCGAUCUCUUGACUUUGUGAUCCACCUGCUACAAGGUGGCACCCUCCCAAAGUGCAGAGAUUACAAACAUGAGCCAAUGCUCCCAGCCACAAUUUCUAUCAUAUCUUCAUAUUCACUUAUCUUUCCUCUGUUCUAUCCAUUCUGCUCUUAAGCCUAUCUGGUAAUCUUUUAUUCAGUUACAAUAUUUGUUAGUGCUAACAAAUUUUUGUUCUUCUCUAUGUCUUCUAUUAAUUAUCUGAAACUUUCUAUCUGUUCAUCUGCCUCAAUAGUUUUUAAUUACUCAUUGAAGGAAUGUUAUGUUUCAGCAUGGACAGUGAUUGGACAGUGAUUCUCAGUUGUAUCCUGGCCAUUUAGGAUUAUGUUUGAGAUUUGGCACAUUGUGUAAUUAUUAUUUUUUUUUGUGGAGACCUCUUCUAAGAUUAUGCCCACAGGAUAAGUGGAGUGCCACCUCACUACAGGGAAGAGGGGGUGGAAGUCCACAUUUUCCCUAUAAUCUCUGUGAUCCAUGUUGGUAAGUCCAGUGUGGGAUUGCAAGGAGGGUAAACAGAUGCCUCAUAAUGACUGCAAUGACACCACAAUGGGAAACAGGUAAACUUCUCACCCUAAAACUCCACUGGGUGUCUUUUGACACCACUCUAGUGGGGUUGGAGAGACAGUUUGUAUUAGCCAGUGUUCUCUGAGAAAGCAUCCAUAGAAGAUAGAUAGACACAUAGAUAGAUUCAAAUAGAUUUAUUUAUGUAUUUACUUAUUUAUUUUUAGACAGAGUCUUGCUGUGUCACCCAGGCUUGAGUGCUGUGGCACGAUCUUGGUGCACUGCAACCUCUGCCUCCUGGAUUCAAGCAGUUAUUCUCCUCAGCCUCCAAAGAAGAUGGGAUUACAGGCUCGUGCCACAACACCUGGCUAAUUUUUUGUAUUUUUAGCAGAGAUGGGGUUUCACCAUGUUGGCCAGGCUGGUCUUGAACUGCUGACCUUGUGAUCCACACACUUGGACUCCCAAUGUGUUGGAAUUAGAGGCGUAAACCAUGGCACCCAGCUCAAAGAGAUUUAUAAAGAGAAACUGGCUCAGAAAUUGAAUAUGAGAGUUCCUAACAUAUGGAGGCAGCAAUGGGAGAUUCAGGAGAGCUGGUGGUCUAAGUUCUAGUCUGAGACUAAAGGCCAGAGACCCAGGACAGCUGAUGGUGUGAGCUCCUAUCUGAGUCUGAAGGCCCAAGACCCAGAAGAGCAAAUGGUGUGAGUUCAAGUCUGAGUCUGAAGGCCUGAGGCCAAUGAGAGCUGAUGGUGUAAGUUCUAAUCUGGGUCUGAAGGCCCAAGGCCCAGGAAAGCUGAUGAUGUGAAGUCCAGUCUGAGUGUGAAGGCCUGAGACUCAAGAGAGUUGAUGGCAUGAGUUCUAGUCUGAGUCUGAAGGCCCGAGAUGCAGGAUAACUGAGGGUAUGACUUCCAGUCUGAGUCUGAAGACCUGAGACCCAGGAGUCCUGAUCAUGUGAAGUCCGAUCUGAGUCUGAAGGCGUAAGGCCAGGAGAGCUAAUGGUGUGAAUUCCAGUCUGAGUCAGAAGACCUGAGACCCAGAAGAGCUUUGAGUGUGAAUUCCAAUCUGAGUCAGAAAAUCCAAGACCCAGGAGAGCUGACAGUGUGGGAUUCACACUGGAGACUCAAGACCCAGGAAAGCCCAUGAUGUAGGUGCCAGUUUAAAGACAGGAGAAUCCUGAUGUUUCAGCUCAAUCAGGCAGGAGAGGUUUCCUCUUACUCCAUCUUUGUUUCCUAUUCCAGGCUUUCAUAGAUUGUAGAGGACCCACCAACAGGAGGGGUCAAUCCACUUUUUGCAGUGUAUGAAUUCAAAUGGGAAGCCAGGUGCAGUGGCUCACACCUGUAAUCCCAGGACUUUGGGACAGGUUGGAUGAUCUCAGCUCAGGAGUUUGAGACUAGCCUGGGCAACAUGGUGAAACCCCAUCUCUACUAAAACUACAAAAAUUAGCUGGGCUUGGUGGCAGGCACCUGUGAUCCCACCUAUUCUGGAGGCUGAGGCAGGAGAAUCGCUUGAACCCACAAAAUGGAGGUUGCAAUGAGCCAAGAUCACCCCAUUGCACUCCAGCUUGGGAGACAAGAGUGAGACUCUGUCUCAAAUAAUAAAUAAAUAAAUACAUAAUUGAAAGAAUAAAAAAAGAAUUCAGAUGGGAAUCUCAUCCAAGUACCCAUCUUGCAGACAUAUUCAGAAUAAUGAUUUCCCAAAUAUCUCCAUGCCCUGUGACUCAGUCAAGUUGAUACAAAAAAAUCAGUCAUUAUUGUUGUCUUGGUUCUGCCUGGUAAAAUCAAAGUCCAGACCAGCUAGUCUGGCCUGGUAUCCACCUGGAUAUUACAGAUGGGCAAUGUUGGAAGUUUAUGCUUGAAGCUUGGUCUUUGCUAAUGGGGGUGGAGCGGAAGCCACAGUGCAUCUGUGGUAUAUGCUGGAUAACAGAAAACCCAGAGAACUCAUUCCCAUGAUUUUCCUCAGGUUCUCAGGUCUUUUUUCUUCUCUUCACCUGUCAGGGACCUCUUAUACUAGCUUUAUAUUAAUAUGCAGGUUUUAUGUCUGUACUUAAAAUGGAAACAGGCAGAAGUGCAUCUAUGUCAUCUUGUUCCAGAAUUACAAAUUUGAAGUAUUGCAGCUUUUUUAGUAUAACUGAAAAAAUAUCUACAAACUCAUCUGCAAAUCUGCAAGUGGUGCACAAAAUAAAUCCACUUAAAUAGUCCUCUUUGACCAUGUUAAGUGUUUGAAUCAAGUAAAAUUACACGAAUAAAGUCGAUGGUAGUUACAAACCAAAUGGACUCUCUAUCCACAGAAUAUAAUUUUUAACAGUCAUAUACACCUGUUUCCAAUCUAACAAAGGCUUAAAAGAGACUUUCUAAGAGAAGUUUAAGUUUUAUUACUCAGAAACUCUGGGGAUUUUCAGCAAUGUAAGUGAAUACUAGAGAGCAUUCAAGAAAUCUUAGAUCUUCAGAGUUGUUUUCCUUGAAGCUUUGAAUCUUUGUGCACUUUUAAAAUUGUUUUUCUCUGCAUUUAGCAAUGACAUAUAUUGUAAAAAAUGUGUCUUAUGUUUAUCUUCAGCCAAAUUUAUUUGCAUGUUCUACUUUGUGUGUUUUAGUAAAAGUUCAAUAUUUGAUAGCUUGAGUAAUUCUUUCAUCUUUGAUGCAAAGCUACAUUUUGAAAAUAUUGACUGAGAAUACAAUGAAGUAUAUAAUCAUUUUCCAGUAGCAAUGACUGGAAUGUGUGACACAUGUCUCAGUAGCAACAUUUCACUUUGUUCAAGAUCUGAUUUUCUAUAAAUAAUUCCUAAUGCAGUCAGCUACAAACCAAGACAAGAAUGUAAUUGAAAGCCUCUGAGUUAUUAAUAAUUUACUUUCUCUAUGUGGCCACACUUAGGACCUAAGCCAAAAAAAAAGUAUAGAAAAACUCCUUAAGAGUAAAAAAAAUUAAAUAAAAAAGCAUAUAAUGGAUAUGUGUCAACUGAGUUAUGUGGAAAGGCAGAAAAGGCAUUUUAGAAACAAUGAUCUGAGGUUAUUCAAUAUAAGGAUAUAGAACUCUAUACCCUUGAAUAUCCAUGAAGUUCUUUCUGUAUGGUCCAGCAGAAGAAGAAUGUUAAUUCCUUGCAGGUACUGCACUGCUUAGAUGUUAUUUUUGAAAACCUCUCCAGAUUUUUAAUACCUUCCUUCAUUGAAUUUUGAGUUAUAAAUGCAACCAUUUUACAGAUGCAGGGAGAUAUAACACAAGUUGUAAAGCCCUGUGUGAAGUCAUAUGGUUGACAGGAAUAAGAAUUCCUCAUUUGAAGGAAUUUUUAUACUCUACCCUGACUUACUGAUGACUCACAGUGUAUGUGACUCUAGAGUUUAAUGAUUAUGUUACUUUGGGAAUAUAGAGUUUUGUGAUCUGGGAAGACGUAUAAAUGUGCUUCCCUGAUCUACUCAAAUGCACGAGAGAGGUAUUUUUCAUGUAUAUUUUAGCCCAGAGAAAGGGCUUAAUCUCUUCAGCCAGUGGAUGUAUAUUACACUUUUAAAGAAUUCUUCUGAAAUCUUUUUCUGUGCCAUAUUUUCAGACAAUUUCAAGUUUAUUCUGCUUCAGCUGUCAUAGUGGCAACCCGCACUAAGAGUUUGUCACCAAACUCUCAUCGUUAAGCUUGGAAUGUCUUCAAGUACAAAUGGUUAUGCAAUUUGGGAAUUACCAGUUUAUUUUCCAAGAAGGUAAGAUGCAUCCUGUUGGUGAAUGCAGGACAACCUGGCGGGCCAGGUGCAUAAAUCUUUGACUUCCCCACCAUGACGAGGUUUGGAUAAGACUUCAACCCAGUGAUGGCCAAUGAGACUGGAUGGUGCAGUCUACAAAUAUUCCACUAGCUUGUGGUGGAAUAAAUCAGUGUUGUGUAUUUUCUUUGGUCUUUUCUUCUCGGUGCUCAUGUGAAUGUGCCUAUCUGUUCUAAAACCAGGUCAUUAAAAAUAUGUCAAUAUUUUAAACAUUAAAUAUUUAAAUCUGUUAUAAUUACACAAAUUUACAUGGUUUACAUAGGUUUAUUCUUUUUUUCUUGUUGUUUGUUUUUUUGAGACGGAGUCUCGCUCUGUCACCCAGGCUGGAGUGCAAUGGCGCGAUCUCGGCUCACUGCAAGCUCCGCCUCCCGGGUCCACACCAUUCUCCUGCCUCAGCCUCUCCGAGUAGCUGGGACUAUAGGCACCCGCCACCACGCCCGGCUAAUUUUUUGUAUUUUUAGUAGAGACAGGGUUUCACCGUGGUCUCAAUCUCCUGACCUCGUGAUCUGCCCGCCUCGGCCUCCCAAAGUGCUGGGAUUACAGGCUUGAGCCACUGCGCCAGGCCCAUAUAGGUUUAUUUUUUAAUAUCUAUAAACUUUUUGCUUCUAGUUAGUUCACAGCAGAGGGCAGACUCAUUCUUUUUUGUAACUUAAAGAGUCAAAUUGUUGAUAAAUUACACUUACAGAUAAUGUGCUCUUGAGUUUAUCGCACCUGAAAUUCUCCCAUUGACCUGUAUAUUUUUGGACAUGUAUGUGUACUACUAUAUAUGAAAUAUGAAAUAUAUGUAUCUUUGAUUCAUAUAUGUAUGUAUUCAUAUAUGAUAUGAAUCAUAUCAUUGAUAUAUGUAUGUAUAUGUGUGUAUAUAUAUAAAUAUAUAUAUACUAUUUGUAAUUUCUAUUAUUUUUUCAAGUGACUGUGUGCAUUUUAAAAUUAUUGUCUACUUAGUAUUCUGGAAAAAAAUUUAGAAGACUAAUGCUGUUACAUGCUAUUUUAGAGUGGUUAUGAUCAAAGUCAUAAAAUGAGAAAGUGGUGAACCAGGAUGCAAAUGGAACAUUGACAUACUAAUACAAUUUCACCUAAUGUAUGUAGCCAGAAGUCAGACACAGUCAAGAAGUUGGGAUUUGAAGAUAGAAAUUUUUAAGAGCAAAAGAAGAGACACUAUUCCAUGGAGUUUGCAUUGUGAGUUUAUGAAUGAAUGUAGAAAAUGGUAAUUUGGUCUCCUUCAUUCCUAUGGUAAAUGUCUUCAUUGAUCAUAGAAAAGAGGAUGUUAUUGGAUAUGUGUGUCCAGAUAGUCAUUUAGCUGAUUCUCCAAUCACCAGGCUUGUCACUACCAAUGAAUGAUCCAAAAAAGUUCCACCAUGUGACUGACCAGGCACCUAACACACACUAUAACUUUUGCUAGGAUGUGCAAUUUUGACUUAAGAUGUAGGCUGGGCUUCUACUCUCAUAUUGGCUGAAUCUAAGUAGCACCUGAACAUUGAUCCCAAAGAGAUGAACCCUACUGAAUGUCUUUGUGAAAAAAUGGUAGGGUAAAAUACAUGCAGCAGUACAGAACCUCCAGGCUGGAUGCUGUGGCUCAGGCCUGUAAUCCUAGCAGUUUGGAAGGCUAAAGUGGGAGGUGAGCUUCACUUGAGCUCAGGUGUUUGACACCAG
rnacentral:lncRNA from 10 species